CCUACGGGGGGCUGCAGUAAGGAAUAUUGCACAAUGGGGGAAACCCUGAUGCAGCAACGCCGCGUGAGCGAAGAAGGCCUUCGGGUCGUAAAGCUCUUUUCUGGGGGACGAGGACGGACGGUACCCCAGGAAUAAGUCUCGGCUAACUACGUGCCAGCAGCCGCGGUAAAACGUAGGAGGCGAGCGUUAUCCGGAUUUACUGGGCGUAAAGGGCAAGUAGGCGGUUGUUCAAGUUGGGCGUGACAGUUCUCGGCUUAACUGAGAGAGGACGUUCAAAACUGGGCGACUAGAGGGCAGGAGAGGGAAGCGGAAUUCCUAGUGUAGCGGUGGAAUGCUCAGAUAUUAGGAAGAACACCAGUGGCGAAAGCGGCUUCCUGGCCUGUACCUGACGCUGAGAGGCGAAAGCUAGGGUAGCAAACGGGCUUAGAUACCCGUGUAGUC
rnacentral:rRNA from 1 species